GGUCCCGUAGUUCAAUGGAUAGAAUACCGGAUUCCGGUUCCGGCGAUGUGGGUUCGAUUCCCGCCGGGAUCA
rnacentral:tRNA from 1 species